UCAAGAUGCCAGCACCAGCCUCCAAAGAAGCUGGAGCGCCUCAGCGAGGGUGUGCUGAGUCAGCACAGAGGCAGAUGCAGUGUCCCUCAGCAGUAGGGGGGCAGGUGGGCAGGCUCAGCUACCAGCCUCCAUCCUCGGUACUGGGGCAGGCUGGGGGGCUCAGCACUGGGUCUGUCCUCAGUGUGUGGGGGCAUCCAAUCUCCAUGUUGGGGGGCGGGCAGGCCUUGUCUAGGUUUUUGAUGUGAGAUCAACAAGAGGAACAAAUCCGUUUAUGUUCUUUGUCUUGAUUGUUCCUGCUCCAGAUUUACUAAAUACUAAUAAGUAGAUGUCUACAGACAACAGAAUUAAAUAAGCAAGCAACAAUAACCAUGACCCUGUCAAACACGUGUGUCAGCCACUAGCCUCAGCCAUUUACACACAUCUCAUUUAAUCCUCACAAUUCACAGAUUAGGAAACUCAGAUUUAAGGGCUACAGACCACUUAAAUGCCAUGUACUUAACAAGUGGCAGAGCCAGAAUGGGAUUUCAUGUUAGUCUGGAAGGAAGGUCUUUGAUGUUUUUAUGAUACCGAGUUGCCUGCCAGAACAAUGACACUAAGUGCUGCCCCGCCUCCCACCCUCAUCUGCUCCUUAAUGUGGGUGGGGUGAGGGUAUGGAUUAAUCCAGAAUCAUGAGACCUUAGGGUAGUUGAAAGAUUGCAGAUAAUGAAAUAGUCCAUCUUUAAUAAACUAUCCAGGCUCCCGAAAGAGACUGAGAGCCUCUGUAAAACAUUAGUCAGUUUCUCACUUUUAUUUUUUAUCUGUGGCUGUAAAGAUGAAGGAAAGCAAUACACCUCUCAAAGUUCCUUCAAAAACCAAGACUGCAGACUACAGACCAACUCUUCUUUCUUGAAUGUAGAUAUCGCCCUCUUGUGGUAACUUGCUGCUUCUGUUAUUAUAGUCCUUUUCUAUUAUAAUUCAAUUUAUUCUGCAGAGCAGCCCGCUAAGAGUUGUAUUCCUGCUGGGUUUUGCUACUAAGGAAAGGAACAGAGUCAGAAUAUUAGCGACAAAAACCGCAUGACCCUAACCUCAUUAGCAGGGGGACAUUCAAGUCAACCUAGAGAACAUACUGACAUUCCCAACUUGUUCCCUUGUAAAUCCAUAGGGUCAGUAAGGUCCUAACUUUAGUCUUCAUGGAAUAUUAAAUUGUAUUAAAAGAUUUUGUAAUAAAAAUUUAUUUUGAAGAUUCA